rnacentral:rRNA from 1 species
GACGAACGCUGGCGGCGUGCGUAAUACAUGCAAGUCGAGCGAAGUUUUUUUGGUGCUUGCACUAGAAAAACUUAGCGGCGAACGGGUGAGUAACACGUAAAGAACCUGCCUCAUAGACGGGGACAACUAUUGGAAACGAUAGCUAAUACCGGAUAACAGCAUAAAUCGCAUGAUAUAUGUUUAAAAGUUGGUUUCGGUUAACACUAUGAGAUGGCUCUGCGGUGCAUUAGCUAGUUGGUGGGGUAAAGGCCUACCAAGGCGACGAUGCAUAGCCGACCUGAGAGGGUGAUCGGCCACACUGGGACUGAGACACGGCCCAGACUCCUACGGGAGGCAGCAGUAGGGAAUCUUCCGCAAUGGGCGAAAGCCUGACGGAGCAACGCCGCGUGAGUGAAGAAGGAUUUCGGUUUGUAAAGCUCUGUUGUUAGGGAAGAAUGAUUGUAUAGUAACUAUAUACAGUAGG